UGUAUAGUAUUUCAACUAUUAUCUGUUUGCACUGGUUUAUUUUAUUAUUCUAUGUGUGAUUCAUUUAAAUGUUUGUGACACUGAAACUGUAUUGAUUCAUGAUUCACAUUAUAAAAACAAAAAAAAAGAAAGAAGACAGUUUUAUUUAUAUAUUCACCGCUAAGAUUCAAGCGUUUUAGUCUUAAACGAAACACUGACAAGAGUACUUGUGAAUAAAUAUUUAACUUAACCUAAAAAAAUAAAAAUCAUACAAAAUGAUGUCCAGAACUUGCCUUUUUGUUCUAAUUGCUUUGUUUGCUGUGACCAGUGUUUUGGCACGCACAACUGUUGCUGAACAAAACUCCAGGCUCGCUAGGCCCGCAAGCCCAGUCACCGGUUCCAAAGCCGUUUGUGGUAAACAUGGCGAUGAUUGUACAAACUCUGACCAAUGUUGCGGCAACACAAGAUGCCAUAUAUAUGCCCAUAAAUGUCAGGCUAUUAUCACUUCAGAAGAUUUGAUCAACCAAAGGAAGAAGCUCAGACAUGUCGAGAUCAAUGCUCACAAGAAGGACAGGAACUACUAAUUUUAAGUGAACAAACUACAUUUUUUGACAUUUGUUACAAUUAACAUGUUUUUUCAUAAGUUGAAUGUUGUUUACCAACAAAAAAAGUUUAAUUAAAUUUUUCUUACAAUGUUAACUUUUAUUAAAAUA